GGCGGGGUAGCUCAGUUGGCUAGAGCGUGGGACUCAUAAGCCCGAGGUCGUGGGUUCAAUCCCCACCCCCGCUA
rnacentral:tRNA from 1 species